UGAGGAAUAUUGCACAAUGGGCGCAAGCCUGAUGCAGCGACGCCGCGUGUGGGAUGAAGGGGCUACGCCUCGUAAACCACUGUAGCCCGGGACGAAAAACGCCUUAGAGGCGUUAGACGGUACCGGGAAAGUGAGGGUCGGCUAACUACGUGCCAGCAGCCGCGGUAAUACGUAGGACCCAAGCGUUGUCCGGAUUUACUGGGUGUAAAGGGUGCGCAGGCGGAUGGGUAAGUCAGGGGUGAAAGUCUGCAGCUUAACUGUAGAAUUGCCUUUGAUACUGCUCAUCUGGAGUGUGGGAGAGGUUGAUGGAAUUCCAGGUGUAGCAGUGAAAUGCGUAGAUGUCUGGAAGAACACCAGUGGCGAAGGCGGUGAACUGGCCCAUAACUGACGCUCAUGCACGAAAGCGUGGGGAGCAAA
rnacentral:rRNA from 1 species